rnacentral:rRNA from 1 species
CACUCCUGCGGGAGGCAGCAGUGGGGAAUUUUGGACAAUGGGCGAAAGCCUGAUCCAGCAAUGCCGCGUGUGUGAAGAAGGCCUUCGGGUUGUAAAGCACUUUUGUCCGGAAAGAAAUCCUUGGCUCUAAUACAGUCGGGGGAUGACGGUACCGGAAGAAUAAGCACCGGCUAACUACGUGCCAGCAGCCGCGGUAAUACGUAGGGUGCGAGCGUUAAUCGGAAUUACUGGGCGUAAAGCGUGCGCAGGCGGUUUGCUAAGACCGAUGUGAAAUCCCCGGGCUCAACCUGGGAACUGCAUUGGUGACUGGCAGGCUAGAGUAUGGCAGAGGGGGGUAGAAUUCCACGUGUAGCAGUGAAAUGCGUAGAGAUGUGGAGGAAUACCGAUGGCGAAGGCAGCCCCCUGGGCCAAUACUGACGCUCAUGCACGAAAGCGUGGGGAGCAAACAGGAUUAGAAACCCGGGUAGUCCCAUG